CUUCCAGGCAAGCCAGUGACGAAGAAGGGAUUUGUCGAAGGCAUGAGUCGUCUUGUUCACGGCGAGCUGGAAAAGAGGCGAUUGAGUGAGCCGACAUUUCACGAGAAGAUGACUAAUGCCAUGUAUGAUGCCAUUGGUAUAAAGGACGUCGUGACGGUUGACGAUAUAAAGGUUUUCAUGAAAUGUGUCGACAUGGAUCCAGAAGGAGCUGUACAAUAUUUCGCUAUGGCAGAUAAGAAAAAAAAAGGGAAACUUCCACGAAAUGUUCUAAUUGAUUUAGAAUUUGAAUUUUGGUUUAAACCUGAAGACGAGAGCACUAAAGGCAUGUAUGGAGGAACUUAUCAAGGCGGUGAAUAAGAAAAGCGUGCCUUUCCAUGCACAACUUCUAUCUCCCAAAAUAACUGAAUUCCCAUCUAAUUGUUUAAAAUCACUAGACACCAAAUUUGAAUUGUAUGUGC